GUGGGGAAUAUUGCACAAUGGGGGAAACCCUGAUGCAGCGACGCCGCGUGAGUGAAGAAGUAUUUCGGUAUGUAAAGCUCUAUCAGCAGGGAAGAAAUUGACGGUACCUGACUAAGAAGCCCCGGCUAACUACGUGCCAGCAGCCGCGGUAAUACGUAGGGGGCAAGCGUUAUCCGGAUUUACUGGGUGUAAAGGGAGCGUAGGUGGUGUGGUAAGUCAGAUGUGAAAGCCCAGGGCUCAACCCUGGGACUGCAUUUGAAACUGCCAUACUUGAGUGCAGGAGAGGUAAGUGGAAUUCCUAGUGUAGCGGUGAAAUGCGUAGAUAUUAGGAGGAACACCAGUGGCGAAGGCGGCUUACUGGACUGUAACUGACACUGAGGCUCGAAAGCGUGGGGAGCAAACAGGAUUAGAAACCCUUGUAGUCC
rnacentral:rRNA from 1 species